AUGGAGGCUGUGGCCGCGGCCGCGGCCACCUCAUUCGUGGAGUGGAUGGUGCCGAAGCUCUUUGAUUUCUUACAUGCAAAUCAUGAGCUUCGGAAGAACCUAAAGAAUGACAUCAUCUACAUCAAGCAUGAGUUUGCUAUGAUUUCUGCUGUCAUCAAGGAUGAUGAUAGCCGUGGUGGCUGCCGCAGCAGCAGUGAACAAGUGCAUACGGAGUGGAUCAAUAUUGUGCGUGAAUUGGCGCACGCCAUAGAAGACUGCAUCGACCGCUUCAUGCACAGUGUGACCAUGGCUGACUCGGAAAAAGGGAGGCUCAGCCGGGCUCUCCACCGGGUGAAGACGGCGAAGACCCGCGGCAAGUUUGCUGCGGAGAUCCGGACGCUGAAGAAUAGAUCAGAAGAUGCUUCCAAGCUGAGAGAAAAAUACUGCAACAACAGCAGCAGCAGUUCCUCACCAAGGUGGUCGUUGUCGUCUGAGCAGACAGACGCGCCGACAGCGGUUCAGGAUGAUGACGAUGACAUCCAUUCAUCAGCUUCCAUCGCCGUUCCUGUGGGUAUCGACGGUCCCCGUGGCGAGCUUAUGGAUCUGAUCCAGCAGGAGCAACAGCUUAAGGUGAUUACCAUUGUGGGUUUCCAUGGCAUGGGCAAGACUCUCCUUGCCAAUCAUCUGUACAACUCCAAGGCAAUUGAGAGCCAAUAUGAAGUACGGGCUUGGGUCCAAGGGGGGAGGAGGACAGCAGCGGAUGUUCUCAAGGAGAUACUCAAGCAGCUUGGCCACCUUCCCCUGCCAACCAAUGGCAGUCUCACUCUCACCUUGCUUCACGCGAGCAUCAGAGAGUGCAUUGGCAACAAGAGGUUCUUUAUUGUAAUUGAUGACCUGCGGACAACAGCAUAUUGGCACAACAUGAAAGCAGCCUUUGUCGGUUUAAAUGGCAGAUUUCUGGUGACGACGGUCAUUCAGCCCGUAGCAAAUAUCUGUCGCAGCUCAUCUGUUAAUGAUCAUGUAUACACAAUGGCAACUCUUACCGACCAAGACUCAAGAAUAUUGUUCUUCAAGGAAGCUUUCCAAGACGAUGAACAGCCGCAGCAUGUGGAUGACCUCGGCUAUGCAGCGCUCAAGAAAUGUGAUGGUCUUCCCCUUGCUCUUGUUACCACCGCCAGGUUCUUGAAAAGCGCAGGUAAUCCAACACCCAUGAUACGGGCAAAACUAUGCGCCAACCUGGGUACACAUAUGGAGAGUGAUGAUCUAUUUGCAAGAAUGAGGCGUGUGCUUGUCCAGAGCUACACCAGCCUUGAUAGCCAGGUCGCCAGGACAUUCUUGCUCUAUUUGAGUACGUACCCAAGUGGUCGUCCUAUCAAGAAAUCAAGCUUGUUAAGGAGAUGGUUAGCAGAAGGCUUGUCCCCAGGAGACAAUACAUAUAGUGAUGUUGAUGCCGCCAUUAGCAAUUUCAAUAAGCUUGUUGAUUGGAGCAUCAUCCAGCCAAUGGAAGCCAGCGGCAACAACACAGAGGUGAAGACAUGUCAUACCCAUGGCAUGAUGCUGGAGUUCGUCCUGCGCAAGUCCAUGUCCGACAACUUCGUUACCGUGUUGUAUGAUGGGCAGUCUACCUCUCGCCUACCCAAUAAUAUCCGCCGGCUUGCUCUGCAUCAUGCAAGGCCAAGAGAAGUGCCAGGUUUAACUCUUGUUCGGUCACUGACAAUCUUGGGAGAGGCGCACCCAUCUGUCCUGGACUUCUCCAAGUAUGAACUGCUGCGAGUUUUGGAUCUGGAAAAGUGCGUUGUACCCUUGGAGGAUGGCCAUCUCAAGUUGAUAUGCAGAAAACUGUUGCUGCUGAGGUACCUAUGCCUCGGGGCUGCAGUUAUUGCCACGGUGCUUCCCAAGGAGAUCAGGAAGCUUCAAUUAUUGGAUACACUGGAUGUAAGUAAAACAAAGAUAGAGAUUCUGCCAACGCAAGUCAUGGAGCUGCCACGUCUUGUUCAUCUCUUUGGGAAGUUCAAGCUCAAGAAAGAUCUAGGAGACUGGAGAAUGAGUAAGCUACAGAAGCAAAUUGGAAACACUGGCAGGAUUUGUUGUGGACAACAGCAAGAGCCAAGAUUUUGCACAGCUCAUGAACAAUAUGAAGGCUUUGACAAAGGUGAAAAUAUGGUGCGAGUCUACCCCCGACACCAGCAGCUCAAGUCAUCUCUCAAAGGCCAUCAAGGGGAUCAUUGA
rnacentral:rRNA from 1 species